ensembl:ncRNA C09H10.17 ncRNA
GCGACGGAAAUGUGUGCACCAAAAUUUGAGGUUUUUCUGAAGAAGGAAUGUCCCUUGGGGACAUGUCCCAAAGAAAGUUGGCUUUCGCCUCAAAAAAGUCUCUUGGAGUGUCAUAUCGAAAUGAUAGAGAAUUGAGGAUGAGGAGACUG